AUCCUCUGAGAAGGUUCCCCUGUUAACCGGCCGGCUUGCAGUUGCAGCGGAUCUAGAGUGGGCACCGCGGACGAGAACAGAAAGCUGGAAGAGGGCUCCGCCAGCGGCACCGGGUUCACCCAUCCCCCGGCUGCGCCAGGUUUAGUACCAGCCGCGGAGCCCGGACUCCCAGUUUCCCAGGCCCUGUAGAACUGACUCAGAGUCCGACCCCAGCAGAGACGCAGGUGUGCUGAGGUCUUGAUAUCAUACAAGGAAACAAGCAAGGAUGUCUGCUUUCAACACUUCUGUUCAACAUUGGACUGGAUGUUCUAGUUGGUGCAGUCCAGUAAAAGAAAGAGAAGAAAGCAUCCAAAUUGGAAAAAAACUAAAACUGCCUUUAGUCACAGAUGACAUAAUCCUGUAUAUAGAAAAUUUCACGGAAUCACCGGGCGCUGUGGCUCACACCUAUAAUCCCAACACUUUGGGAGGCCGAGGUGGGUGGAUCACAAGGUCAGGAGAUCGAGACCAUCCUGGCUAACACAGUGAAACCCCAUCUCUACUAAAAGUAUAUAAAAUUAGCUGGGGAUGUGGCACACACCUGUAGUCCCAGCUACUUGGGAAGCUGAGGCACGAGAAUCACUUGAGGCAGAGGUUGCAGUUAGCUGAGCAACAGAGUGAGACUGCCUAAAAUGAAAAAAGAAAAAAAAAUUCAAGGAAUCAAUAAUAAUAGAACUACUGAAACUAAUAAAUGAUAUUAGCAUGCUCAAAAAUUAUAUGUCUAUAUACUAGCAGUGAAUCUUAAAAUGAAGUUGAGUAACCAAGUUCAUUCACACUAUCAAAAAGAAUAAUAGUAAUAAAUGUAAUAAAAGAAGUAAAAAUGUGGCUGGUGCAGUGGCUCACACCUGUAAUCCCAGCACUUCGGGAGGCCGAGGUGGGCGAAUCACAAGCUCAGGAGAUUGAGGCCAUCCUGGCCAACAUACUGAAACCCCAUCCCUACUAAAAAUACAAAAAUUAGGGGCCAGGCACAGUGGCUAACACCUGUAAUCACAGCACUUUGGAAGGCUGAGACAGGUGGAUCACGAGGUGAGCAGUUCAAGAACAUCCUGGCCAAGAUGGUGAAAUCCUGUCUCUACUAAAAAUACAAAAAUCAGCUGGGUGUGAUGGCAGGUGCAUGCAAUUCCAGCUACUCUGGAGGCUGGGGCAGAGAAUUAAUUGCUUGAUCCCAGGAGGCAGAUGUUGCACUGAGCCAAAAUCAUGCCACUGCACUCCAGCCUGGUGACAGAGCGAGAAUCCGUCUCAAAAAAAAAAAAAUUAGCUGGGUGUAAUGGCGCAUGCCUGUAAUCCCAGAUACUCUGGAGGCUGAGGCAGGAGAAUCGCUUGAAAGAAGGAGUCAGAGGUUCCAGUGAGCUGAGAUCGUGCCACUGCAUGCGAAUCUGGUGACAGCAAGAGACUCUGUCUCAAAAAAAAAAAAGCAAAAAUGUGUAUAUUGAAAAGAACAAAAUAUUGCU